rnacentral:lncRNA from 1 species
GUGCUCCUCCUGCAGCGGACGGAAGAUGCUGGGCCACGCAAGUUUCCCUGGGCUUGGUUAACCACCCCAAAGCCCAUUUCCAGAAGGAAAGGGUGUUGAGGAGGAGGGAUAGAAAGUCGAGAAGAGGGCCGGGUGAGUGGCUCACGCCUGUCAUCCCAGCACUUUGGGAGGCCGAGACAGGCGGAUCACCUGAGGUCAGGACUUAGAGACCAGCCUGGCCUACAUGGUGAAACCCCGUCUCUACUAAAAAUACAAAAAUUAGCCGGGUGUGGUGCCGUGCGCCUGUAGUCCCAGCAACUCGGGAGGCUGAGGUAGGAGAAUCGCUUGAACCCGGGAGUCGGAGGUUGCAGUGCUGAGAUGGCACCUGGCCUGGGCGGCAAGAGCGAAACUCCAUCUCAAAAAAAAAAAGAAGAGGAAAUGAGGCAUAGGGGCAGGCGAGCCGGGAAAAUAUUGCUACUAAGGAUCCUAAGCAGUGAACAUGCUGUUAAUACUUAGAUGAGAUCUUGCUCUGUCACCCAGACUGGAGUGCAGUGGCACGAUCAUAGCUCACUGCACCCUCAAACUCCUGGACUCAAAUCAUCCUCUACCUCUGCCUCCAUGAGUAACUGGAACUACAGGUUAAUAUUCAUCUGUAGCCUGAGUGACCCCAAAAAGAUGACACUCUUCUGUCCACCAAAACCUUCCAGAGGCUUCCUGUGCUCACUUGAAGUAAAAUCCAAAGUGCUGACUGUGGUUACCAGCUCCCCGGGCUGGCCUGCUGCGGGACGGCUUCUCCACCAGCCUCCCGUUCAAGGCCUCCAUUUCUGCCACUGCGGCGUCUGCAUGGUUCCUGAGCAUCCCAAGCACAUUCCCACCUCAAGGCCUUGGUGCUUGCAGUUCAUCUGCUUCUCUCCUGGUCUAUGCCUGGCUGGUUCUUAUUUCUUUUGAAUUCGGACGAGGUGCACCUCAUGAGAGAGGCCUUCCUUGACCUCCCUCCUCCAUUCCUCUCACAGGCCCCAUCUGACAUGCUUGCCCUCCCCCUCCCCUACCCCCAUCCCCUUGUGAGCCCCAUGAGAGAAGGGCCUCUGUCCUUAGGUAGAUGUGAUUCCCCAGAACCCAGGACAGGACAGCCACACAGGAGGAAACUGACACACUUUUCUUAAAUGAUGGA